rnacentral:rRNA from 18 species
GAAUGCUGACAUAAGUAACGAUAAAGCGGGUGAAAAGCCCGCUCGCCGGAAGACCAAGGGUUCCUGUCCAACGUUAAUCGGGGCAGGGUGAGUCGACCCCUAAGGCGAGGCCGAAAGGCGUAGUCGAUGGGAAACGGGUUAAUAUUCCCGUACUUGGUGUUACUGCGAAGGGGGGACGGAGAAGGCUAUGUUGGCCGGGCGACGGUUGUCCCGGUUUAAGCGUGUAGGUGUGUGUUCCAGGUAAAUCCGGUUCACUUUAACACUGAGGCGUGACGACGAGGCACUACGGUGCUGAAGCAACAAAUGCCCUGCUUCCAGGAAAAGCCUCUAAGCAUCAGGUAACAUCAAAUCGUACCCCAAACCGACACAGGUGGUCAGGUAGAGAAUACCAAGGCGCUUGAGAGAACUCGGGUGAAGGAACUAGGCAAAAUGGUGCCGUAACUUCGGGAGAAGGCACGCUGACACGUAGGUGAAGUGAUUUACUCAUGGAGCUGAAGUCAGUCGAAGAUACCAGCUGGCUGCAACUGUUUAUUAAAAACACAGCACUGUGCAAACACGAAAGUGGACGUAUACGGUGUGACGCCUGCCCGGUGCCGGAAGGUUAAUUGAUGGGGUCAGCGCAAGCGAAGCUCCUGAUCGAAGCCCCGGUAAACGGCGGCCGUAACUAUAACGGUCCUAAGGUAGCGAAAUUCCUUGUCGGGUAAGUUCCGACCUGCACGAAUGGCGUAAUGAUGGCCAGGCUGUCUCCACCCGAGACUCAGUGAAAUUGAACUCGCUGUGAAGAUGCAGUGUACCCGCGGCAAGACGGAAAGACCCCGUGAACCUUUACUAUAGCUUGACACUGAACAUUGAGCCUUGAUGUGUAGGAUAGGUGGGAGGCUUUGAAGUGUGGACGCCAGUCUGCAUGGAGCCGACCUUGAAAUACCACCCUUUAAUGUUUGAUGUUCUAACGUGGACCCGUUACCCGGGUUGCGGACAGUGUCUGGUGGGUAGUUUGACUGGGGCGGUCUCCUCCUAAAGAGUAACGGAGGAGCACGAAGGUUGGCUAAUCCUGGUCGGACAUCAGGAGGUUAGUGCAAUGGCAUAAGCCAGCUUGACUGCGAGCGUGACGGCGCGAGCAGGUGCGAAAGCAGGUCAUAGUGAUCCGGUGGUUCUGAAUGGAAGGGCCAUCGCUCAACGGAUAAAAGGUACUCCGGGGAUAACAGGCUGAUACCGCCCAAGAGUUCAUAUCGACGGCGGUGUUUGGCACCUCGAUGUCGGCUCAUCACAUCCUGGGGCUGAAGUAGGUCCCAAGGGUAUGGCUGUUCGCCAUUUAAAGUGGUACGCGAGCUGGGUUUAGAACGUCGUGAGACAGUUCGGUCCCUAUCUGCCGUGGGCGCUGGAGAACUGAGGGGGGCUGCUCCUAGUACGAGAGGACCGGAGUGGACGCAUCACUGGUGUUCGGGUUGUCAUGCCAAUGGCACUGCCCGGUAGCUAAAUGCGGAAGAGAUAAGUGCUGAAAGCAUCUAAGCACGAAACUUGCCCCGAG